GGGGUCUCGGAGGACAUUAUCGAGUUUUGAAUGGGUUGUCUGCUGGCUCGCAAGGGCAUGUGCACGCCUGUCUCAUCCACUCUCAACUUCUGUGCACUUUUCAUAGGCCGGCUUGUGGGUGCGUUCGCGCACUUGUAGGUGUCGGGCUUAUGCUUAACUACAAACGAUUCAGUUUUAGAAUGUCAUACUUUGCUAUAACGCAAUUAUAUACAACUUUCAGCAACGGAUCUCUUGGCUCUCGCAUCGAUGAAGAACGCAGCGAAAUGCGAUAAGUAAUGUGAAUUGCAGAAUUCAGUGAAUCAUCGAAUCUUUGAACGCACCUUGCGCUCCUUGGUAUUCCGAGGAGCAUGCCUGUUUGAGUCUCAUGGAAUUCUCAACCUUCAGCUUUAUUGAUGAAGGCUUGGACUUGGAGGUCGUGCCGGCUCUCGUAGUCGGCUCCUCUGAAAUGCAUUAGUGCGAACGUUACCAGCCGCUUCAGCGUGAUAAUUAUCUGCGUUGCUGUGGAGGGUAUUCUAGUGUUCACGCUUCUAACCGUCUUCGGACAAAUUUCUGAACUCUGAGCUCAAAUCAGGUAGGACUACCCGCUGAACUUAAGCAUAUCAAAAGCCGGGAAGAAA
rnacentral:rRNA from 1 species